UUUUUCUNGAGUAGUGCAGAGGUAGGCGGAAUUCCCGGUGUAGCGGUGGAAUGCGUAGAUAUCGGGAGGAACACCAGUGGCGAAGGCGGCCUACUGGGCACCAACUGACGCUGAGGCUCGAAAGUGUGGGUAGCAAACAGGAUUAGAUACCCUGGUAGUCCACACCGUAAACGAUGAUUACUAGGUGUUGGAGAGCAAAGCUCUUCGGUGCCGCCGCAAACGCAUUAAGUAUUCCACCUGGGGAGUACGUUCGCAAGAAUGAAACUCAAAGGAAUUGACGG
rnacentral:rRNA from 1 species